AAUUGGGCAAUUUAAGUUGUCCCAAGGUGUGGUUGUACGUGCAGCUGUUUAUCUCCACGUGCCCUGCGAUUGGCUGGCGACCAGUUCAAAGUAGGCCCCGCCCCCUGCCCGUUGACAGCUGGGACAGGCUCCAGCAGUCCCCGUGAGGAUAAGCGGCAAAGAAAACGGACGGAUGGUUCUCGGAAUCCCCCGUUCAAAGCUUCGGAAGGUAGAUUUUGUGCCGCCCUCAAAAUAUAUCUUAUUAUUAUUAUUUGCACACUCGUACCAAAAUCAAUGAAAUUGCAUAUAAAGUAUGGAGAUAUUCAUAUUGACAUUGUGUAUAUAUUGGCCUCAUGUUCAUGUCUUACGUCUUCAUUCGCGUGAAUUUAUCAAAAGUUGAGGAUUUAUUUUCCCUAUUCACAAUCGUGCAACCAAAGGCGGCCGAAAAGCCACUUUGGCCGCCGGCGUCGCCGUCUUCUGAUUGGCCGGCGGCGGGCCCGAAUGCUGUCACAUGAAGCCCGUUAGCGCUCGCAUUCUCCACCAGUGGAAUGAAUGGGAACAAAAAAAAAAAAACAAAAAGGGCAAAUGACCAGAGCGUGAUCGCCGGGCGCGUGUCGCUGGGAACGCCGCCGAUGUUCGGAUCCUUCCUGACCACGAAACCAGCAAAAGCCAGAGCAAAAGCGCCGCCCGCCGGCCGGCGUUUCCCCCCCCCCCCAGAAGUCCCCGACCUGCAGCGGGACCGUUUUCACCCUCCCCGAGAAAUGCAGCACGCCGGGAAGAAAAGAGGGAUUGUGAUCGCCGACGACUGGCCGGGAUACAGUCUGGACUUGUUCACCUACCCGGAGCACUACCGCCACGACAUCGACAACGUUUACAUCCCGCACGGCGUGGUCGUCAACAGGACGGAGCGACUGGCCCGCUACAUCGCGGACGACUUUGGCGACGACGCCAUCGUGGUGCUGUGCGUGCUGAAGGGCGGCUACAAGUUCUGCGCCGACCUGGUGGAGUGCAUCAAGGUGCUGGGACGCAACUCCAACAAGUACCUGGAGACCCGCGUGGAGUUCAUACGCCUCAAGAGCUACUUGAACGACCGAUCGACCGAAGACCUGCGCGUCGUCGGAGGCCGAGAUCUGCCCUUCCUGCGCGGAAAGGUGCGUUUGCGGCCGGGGGGUUUUCACCGUGACGAGCACCGAACGCCGAUCCAAAUGAACGGAACUCUCUCGGCGCGGCGCGGCGCGGCGACCGAAGGGGAAUCUCCAAAGGACAAUUGCUUCAAAGGUCAAAGGUUGUGUCGAGAGCGCCGGAUUGCCUGAGACUCCCAUUGAUGAGAACAUUUCCACCGUGUUUCAUGCGCUUUGCCAAUUUUCCAAAAGCAAUUUCAAACUCCUCGACCGACACUGACAGCAGCGCUACCGCUGCCGCCUCUCGCCGCAUUCCGCGCCGUCGACAGCUUCGCUAGACGUGCGAAAAACGUUUACGGACUGGUGGAAAUCUCCACCAGUCCGUCACGGCGGUCAGGUGUAAGAAGCGCGGCCGACGUCGGGCCGGGCGUCCCCCGCCCGACUUCCUCCGUUCCCACAAAGAAGCCCUCAGACGGACGGCGCGGCGGGAACAAGGACGCGUUUGAAAGAGCUUUCCGCGGACGACGCGUC